AGGAGGAACAACCGCAGUGGGGGGGCGGGGGGCAGAUCUGGAGCCCUGGAGUCAGCCCCCGUAGGAACUCCGGAGCUCUCCGUCUGCAGGGCCUGGAGGCUCCGGGGCGGG
rnacentral:pre_miRNA from 1 species